UCUCCUACCUUGACAACAUCUACCCUAGC
rnacentral:piRNA from 1 species